rnacentral:misc_RNA from 1 species
AUUUCAAAGCGUUUAAGAAACAGGUAAAAAAGCGUUUAAGCAGAUAUAAAGCGUUUAAGAAACUCUUUUAUCUGUCCCGAGGAAGGUUUUUACCGAUUUACUCCUGAGGGCUUGUAGCUCAGUUGGUUAGAGCGCGCGCUUGAUAAGCGUGAGGUCGGAGGUUCAAGUCCUCCCAGGCCCACCAAUUUAUGAUUGCUGAUAAGUUUGCUGAUAAGUUUUUUGUGAAUGUUUUGAUGGUUUUUUAUCUUACGAUCUUUCAYUUUUAUGUUGCAAUCUUUCAAAAGUAUUUGAACUGUCUUAGGGGCCGUAGCUCA